CCCUUAGAUGUUCUGGGCUGCACGCGCGCUACACUGAUGCGAUCAACAAGUUUUUCCUAUGUCGAUAGACACGGGUAAUCUUUUGAACUCGCAUCGUGAUGGGGAUAGAUUAUUGUAAUUAUUUAUCUUCAACGAGGAAUUCCUAGUAGGUGCAAAUCAUCAGUUUGCAUCGAUUACGUCCCUGCCCUUUGUACACACCGCCCGUCGCUGCUACCGAUUGGUUGAUCUGGUGAAUUAUUCGGACUGCCGGCUGAAGGGGUUUCCUCAUCUGCCAGCGGAAAGUCUUGUUAACCCUAUCAACUAGAGGAAGCAGAAGUCGUAACA
rnacentral:rRNA from 1 species